ensembl:lncRNA
AACAAUGACAAGUAAUUGAUUGACGUAGGUGAGGGGCAGAUUCCAGACUCAGAUUUCCACAAAAAGUAGCCUAGACUAUUUCAUAGCCUAUGUCAACAUUAUUAGCGUUUUUAUUCAUUAUAGUUUUAUUAUAUUAAAAUUCACUUUACAUUCCCAUUAAGUUUUUGUUGGUAAUUAUAGCUCAAAAUGGCCAAAAAAUUUUGGCCAUUUUUCACAAUUACUUGAAAUUCGUAUCAUAACCCACUUACAGCCACUGAGUUAGAAGGACUGACAUGAAAAUUAAACAAGUCAACGGGCAGAAAAACUCCAGCCAAUGAUUUCCAGAACCACAGAGUGGCAUUGGACAGUAAGUAUGUCAAUCAAACGGUCGUACUGCACCCCCCUUCCCCGAGAAGGGUCCAGCUGCAGGCUUGGGCGUUCCCGUCAUGACACAAAAACGCCCAUCGGGCGUUCCCGUCAUGACACAAAAACGCCCAUCAGGCGUUCCUGUAGCGUUUCAUCGAUCAAUCAAGAAGAGUACCCUGGCACAUGCUUUGUCCAAUGGACCAUGGAAGGGACUUUACUUGGCUGACGAGGGGGACAUGCUCUCUAUCAGGAGGUGGUGGUUGGACUGCUGUUGGAGACCUUUAUGCUUGAAAGCCCUGCAGAACUAGCUGGCUCCUUCUCACCCUCUCCAUCUCCCCAUCUCAGUCACACCUUCCAAUCACUAAGCAGUGAAAGCCCUGCAGGACUAGCUGGCACACCAAGCUCACCCUCUCCAUCUCCCCAUCUCAGCCACACGCUCCAAUCUGGCACAACAGAGGACAGGCCAUUCUUACCACCCGAAGUCCUUCAGCAAAUUGUACAAGAGACGCUGAGACUGGACAUGGCGAUGCUUGGCGUGUUCAACAGGGUUUCAAACACAUUCCGAGAACUAAUCAAGCCUCUCCAUCCUUCAAUAUAUAAAUGACAGUUUGGCAGGGGACAUUAAGCUUAAUAAAGACAAUCUCAUAUACAUAACGGUUAGAAAGAUUUACAACAAUGCAGGCUGUGGCAGUGGCCUUGCGCUACGCCUCAAAGGCUUCUUAAAAAAGAAGAAUUGGCCAAGCGCACCCCUGGUACUGAGGCACGUUGCAUAUGGCAGGUUUGUCAUAAAAGAUGUCUGCAUAGCAUAAUGUUAUUUUAUUACUCCUUUUUCGUUUUAUUUGGGACGUCAUUUUUGCAAUCCCUUUCAUUUGUAAAUGUACAUACUACUGUA